rnacentral:tRNA from 1 species
UCUAAAAUUUUUUAUCCAGAGGUUCAAAUCCUCUUCUUAACU